UUAAAAUGAUGAACAAUUUCGUAGCGAUGGGCGGACUAAAAGAAGUCGAAGCAUUUCAUAUGUAGAAAAUCGCAUGAACUGAUAAGA
rfam:Plasmodium malariae genome assembly, contig: contig659